GCCCGCCCCGCGCCACUUGCGCAUGUCCAUCAAGCCUCAGCACACGCAUGCGUCCUGAGCGGUGGCGCCGCUUUUCAGAAGGGAGACUGAGGCCCAAGUGGGCGCUGCCCCCCUGGCCCCCGGAGCCCAUGUCGGCACAAGGAUGGACCAUCAGACGCUUGUGUGAAACGGUACCCAGGAGGGGACCCCACUUUAUAAAGCAGGUCUGAACCUCUGGCCUCUGACCUCAGAAGGGGGUUUCCUGGCUCCCGUUCUCCAAAUGGUUGCUUCAAGCUUCCCAAACUCAGCCGAGUUACACCUGGAUCGUUAUCGAUCGGAUUAUCCUCAGUACCAGCGGAGCCCUGAGUCCUCACCACGUGAUGACGCUCAGUAGAUGUCUUCGGGAUGAAUGAAGUUAGUACAACGCCCGGCUCAUAGAAAAUGUUAAGCAAACGCAUGUUGAGUGAGUGAGGAAGGGACAAACUAACAAUGAAUGGAGUCUGAGCUCAGAGUGGAUCUGUCCCUCCCAGGCACGUUUGCAGGGACUGGGCAGGAGGACAAGUUGAGGCCCACCUGCCAUAUGUCCACAUAAUUAAAGUCACCAAACAGCCUAACUCACAAACUGUUAAUUAAAAUGUUCUCUGCUCCUACCUUGGCAAAUACAUCUUUACAAUGAAAAAUCAAAAGAUGCAUGACAAGUGAUAUGUCCUGUGUGACCAAAAGUAGGCAAAAAUAUCAAAAAUGUCUAAGUCUAAUAAAUAUUGCAAAUGUUUAAGUACUUUGUUGAGGAGCUGAUGGCGUUGAGAUACACAAUAACCUAAAGACGUAUAUAUAAUUCAUAAAUUCUUAUGUGUCUAGUCUCUACCAUUUAUUAGUCUUGCCUUUAUUUCAGCAAAAGUACUGGGAGGGGGGUUGUUGUUAUAAGCAAGUCUUUCACAUAAGUUAUGUUCUGUUGACAGCACUGUCAGAUUAUAUAACCUUUCUUGGAUCACUGAGGUUUUUAGGUCUUUUUAUAUAGAAAUUAAUUUCAACUUAGAGAAGCAGUUAUAUGUAAACUCCAAUGAACAAGAAAAUUCUGCGCAGCAGCUUAUUACAAUUAGUUGUUUACAAGUGCCAAAAAAUAGAAACAAACGGGCCAUCGCUAUGGGAAUGGUUGGAUAAAUUUUGGCAAAGCUGAACACAUUAUGCAGCCACUUAAAGAAAUAAAUGAGUCAUAUCAGUUGACUUGGAGGGAUUUCCAUGAGAUAUUCCCAAGGAAAGCCAUAUGUAAAGAAAUGUGUAUAAUUCAUCUCAUUUCUAUAAAAUAGACAAUGAUGAAAAGCUAUGUGUGUAUGUAUAUUAUUUACAUAUUCAUAUAUGGUUUAGUUGAAAAUAGAGAAGAGUAUAGAUGGAAUCACCUUCAUUGUUAACCUGGAUUUUCUAUAUGUACGUGUAGGAGGGAGUGGUGACGCAGGAGUAAGAGAGAUGCAAAUUACAAAAGAGAAAGUAAAAUCUGGCUAAAAAGUAUACUCCAUGCUUGAUUUGAUCUCAAUUGUUCAAUAUUCUGUAUGUGUUUUUAUGGAAAGUAGGACAUUGGGGGGAAAUUUUACAUCCGUAUUUACUGAUAUAUAGGUAUAAUGGAUAUGUAAUUGUCCAGAAAAAAUACUGUGAUAUCCUCCAAGCAAAAACCCUGCCUGUGUGAGUCCACACUUUUAAAUGGAUGAACAAGGAGGGAGAUGUGGAAAGACACAUACCAAGCCUUGGUACCAGGGACUGGAGUAAAGGAUGGUGCAGGAGAAAGAUGGUUGUUUUCUUCAUACAUGUAUUUAUUUUGGUUUUGGUUUUGUUUUUAUUGAAGUAUAGUUGCUAUGCAAUAUAUGUUACAGAGGUACUAUUGUAUAUUUAGUGAUUCACAAUUUUUAAAGGUUAUACUCCAUUUAUAGUUAUUACAAAGUAUUAGUCAUAUUCCCCGUGUUGUACAAUACAUCCUUGUAACUUUU